rnacentral:rRNA from 1 species
AGCGAACGCUGGCGGCAGGCUUAACACAUGCAAGUCGAGCGCCCCGCAAGGGGAGCGGCAGACGGGAGAGUAACACGUGGGAACAUACCUUUUGGUUCGGAACAACUGAGGGAAACUUCAGCUAAUACCGGAUAAGCCCUUACGGGGAAAGAUUUAUCGCCGAAAGAUUGGCCCGCGUCUGAUUAGCUAGUUGGUGAGGUAACGGCUCACCAAGGCGACGAUCAGUAGCUGGUCUGAGAGGAUGUUCAGCCUCACUGGGACUGAGACACGGCCCAGACUCCUACGGGAGGCAGCAGUGGGGAAUAUUGGACAAUGGGGGCAACCCUGAUCCAGCCAUGCCGCGUGAGUGAUGAAGGCCUUAGGGUUGUAAAGCUCUUUUGCCCGGGAAGAUAAUGACGGUACCGGGAGAAUAAGCCCCGGCUAACUUCGUG